AAAAAAAAAAAGAAAUACAUCUGCAUCUACUUUUUCGUUGGUGAUAACGUAGGGACACUUCCGCUAAUCCCUCAUACGACCUACGGGUUACAUCAGGUGUUCUUCUGCCCUUGCGCUAUUGAAUAAUCCUAUUGCGGAUUAGCUAUUUUUCGUGUUAAAGGCCCACCAAGGCGACGAUCCGUAACUGUGUUGAGAGGAUGAGCAGACACACUGGAACUGAGACACGGUACAGACUCCUACGGGAGUCAGCAGUGGGGAAUAUUGGUACAUGGGCGCAAGCGUGAUCCAGCCAUACCGCGUGGGUGAAGAAGGCCUUUUUGUUUUAUAAUGC
rnacentral:rRNA from 1 species